rnacentral:rRNA from 1 species
CCUACGGGUGGCAGCAGUUGGGAAUAUUGCACAAUGGGGGAAACCCUGAUGCAGCGACGCCGCGUGGGCGAGGAAGUACCUCGGUAUGUAAAGCCCUAUCAGCAGGGAAGAACCAGGACAGUACCUGACUAAGACGCCCCGGCUAACUACGUGCCAGCAGCCGCGGUAAUACGUAGGGGGCCAGCGUUAUCCGGAUUCACUGGGCGUAAGGGGAGCGCAGGCGGCAUGGCAAGUCUGAUGUGAAAACCCGGGGCCCAACCCCGGGAGUGCAUUGGAAACUGCCAGGCUGGAGUGUCGGAGGGGUAAGCGGAAUUCCUAGUGUAGCUGUGACAGGCGUAGAUAUUAGGAGGAACACCAGUGGCGAAGGCGGCUUACUGGACUGUAACUGACGUUGAGGCUCGAAAGCGUGGGGAGCAAACAGGAUUAGAUACCCUUGUAGUC